CAUGUUUCUCUAUGGCUAGCUGCAAUUUAGUACUUAAUUCAGGCAAAACAAACUCUACCUUAUCCGGAGGUUUGGGAAGGCAUUGAUCCGCAUGGUCCUUUGGUUUAGGUGCUUGGAGUACCAUUUGUUCCUUGUGGGCAUGGGCUGGUUGCAUUGGAUCUAUGGCUGAAUUGGUUUCAAUUUCAUCCUUCUGCGCAAGAUCUGACUGAAAGGGAGGACUGGAGGAGCUCAACUGUGAUGGAAACUGAAAGGACGCAUCUAAAAGGCUUUCAGGUACUCCUUUUUGCGCAAGAUUGAUCUGAAGAGGUGCGAUUGGAAGUGUUGUAGGACUGUCUUGCGCAAGGUUGAUCUGCGCACCAAGCUGAAGUGGUGCGAUCUGCUUAUGUUCAUUCUGCGCAUGGCUGCAGUCCACCUGUUAGAUGCAACAGUCAGUUUCUUUCAAUUUUGGUUCUUCCUGACUUUCAUCAUCUUCUUGGCUAGCCUCCCUGCACGAAUCAUUGGUUAGAAUAUCAUCUUUUAUAUCAAAAUUAUCUUUGCUCAAACAAUCAAUGAUAUUUGAAUUAUCAACAAGUUCUGUUUGAUCUGUUUGUUGGGACAAACAGUGUUCUGGUUGUGUUUCUUCAGCAACUCGUUCUAGCACUUGCCAUCUUUCAUCAGCUUCACGCUCUUCCUCUUUUCUUACCAUGUCUUCUCUCCAUUUGGCAGCUACUCGAUCCACUUCCUGUUGGAGAUUGUGCAAAAUUUCCAACAUCUUACGAAAAUUAGUUCUGGGAUCUUAAGGUAUUGCUUGGGCUUGAUAGUCUUUGUAGUAGUUAGCCCCUUUAUAGCCAUAAUUUGGUUGGUCUCCCCAACAUGGACGUACUUCAAGAGCUUGUUCAGCUUAGUCUAUAACAAAACUUCUCGCAGCAGCGAUUUGUUCAUAAAGUUCCGCGAGGCGAAAAGGUGUAAUUUCCUCAUCCAUGAUUCAGAUCUGCGAUUGAGAUGUUUCCGAAGAUGAUUCUGCGCAGAGUGUUCUUUUUUUUCUUUUUUGGAAUUUGGUCCUGAAAAAAAAAACAAAUAAGUUAAAUCAACUCCCCGGC
rnacentral:lncRNA from 1 species